UUGAAGACACACACAGACCUGCUUCACAGCCCUUUUCUAGUCUUUAGUCAUCUUAUUAUACUUUUUGCCAUCUGUCUUGUAUUGCCAUUUGAAACCAUUCUAGUGAAUGAAAUAUAAAUUAUGUUCUUAUUUGUUUCUAGGAAGCAAGAUUUCCAGAUGUAGCAAAUGGGUUUAUUGAGGAAAUAAUUCAUUUUAAGAAUUAUUAUGAUCUGAAUGUGACAAUGUUAAUUCCACAGCUAAACUAAAAUGUUAAUGGAAACUGGAAAUAAGGCCCAAAGCUGAGUUGAGCAGGCUGGGAUUUUGUUGUAGGUCAGUCUCAGUUGCUUUAUGUGCGUCUUUAAAUGGCCUUCAGAUGGAACCGUCUGGCCAUUUUAAGCAGGAAGCCUAUUCAUUAGAGAACCACAUGGCAGACUUUGUAAUUUUCUUCUGGAAAACCCAGAUUAUCCAAAGAGAGAAGAUAGAAUCAUUAUAAAUCCCAGUAGCAGUCUGCUGGCCAGCCAAGAUGAGACAAAGUUGCCUAAAAUAGACUUUUUUGACUAUUCUAAAUUGACCCCUCUUGACCAGCGCUGCUUCAUCCAAG
rnacentral:sRNA from 1 species